rnacentral:rRNA from 1 species
CCUACGGGAGGCAUCAGUGGGGAAUAUUGGACAAUGGGGGGAACCCUGAUCCAGCCAUGCCGCGUGUGUGAAGAAGGCCCUCGGGUUGUAAAGCACUUUCAGUGAGGAAGAACGCCUGGUGGUUAAUACCCAUCAGGAAAGACAUCACUCACAGAAGAAGCACCGGCUAACUCCGUGCCAGCAGCCGCGGUAAUACGGAGGUUGCGAGCGUUAAUCGGAAUUACUGGGCGUAAAGCGCGCGUAGGUGGCUUGAUAAGCCGGUUGUGAAAGCCCCGGGCGCAACCUGGGAACGGCAUCCGGAACUGUCAAGCUAGAGUGCAGGAGAGGAAGGUAGAAUUCCCGGUGUAGCGGUGAAAUGCGUAGAGAUCGGGAGGAAUACCAGUGGCGAAGGCGGCCUUCUGGACUGACACUGACACUGAGGUGCGAAAGCGUGGGUAGCAAACAGGAUUAGAUACCCUUGUAGUC